AUUGAACGCUGGCGGAAUGCUUUACACGUGCAAGUCGAACGGCAGCACGGACUUCGGUCUGGUGGCGAGUGGCGAACGGGUGAGUAAUACAUCGGAACGUGCCCAGUCGUGGGGGAUAACGUAGCGAAAGCUACGCUAAUACCGCAUACGAUCUAAGGAUGAAAGCGGGGGAUCGCAAGACCUCGCGCGAUUGGAGCGGCCGAUGGCAGAUUAGGUAGUUGGUGGGGUAAAGGCUCACCAAGCCGACGAUCUGUAGCUGGUCUGAGAGGACGACCAGCCACACUGGGACUGAGACACGGCCCAGACUCCUACGGGAGGCAGCAGUGGGGAAUUUUGGACAAUGGGCGCAAGCCUGAUCCAGCCAUUCCGCGUGCAGGAUGAAGGCCCUCGGGUUGUAAACUGCUUUUGUACGGAACGAAAAGGCUCUGGUUAAUACCCGGGGCUCAUGACGGUACCGUAAGAAUAAGCACCGGCUAACUACGUGCCAGCCGCCGCAGUAACAC
rnacentral:rRNA from 1 species